rnacentral:misc_RNA from 1 species
UCCGAGUUGUCCCCGGCAGUCCUCUUAGAGUCCCCAACUGAAAGCUGGCAACAUGCGACGGGGGUUGCGCUCGUUGCGGGACUUAACCCAACAUCUCACGACACGAGCUGACGACAGCCAUGCACCACCUGUGAAGAUGCCCCGAAGGGAAGGCCUGUUUCCAGGCCGGUCAUCCACAUGUCAAGCCCAGGUAAGGUUCUUCGCGUUGCGUCGAAUUAAACCACAUGCUCCGCUGCUUGUGCGGGCCCCCGUCAAUUCUUUUGAGUUUUAGCCUUGCGGCCGUACUCCCCAGGCGGAACACUUAUCGCGUUGGCUGCGGCACGGACAGAUUCGACUCCGCCCACACCUAGUGUUCAUCGUUUACGGCGUGGACUAC